GGCGCCGUAGCCAAGUGGUCUAAGGCAGCGGAUUGCAAAUCCGCCAUCCCCGGUUCGAAUCCGGGCGGCGCCU
rnacentral:tRNA from 2 species